GACAGAGGGUGCAAACGUUGCUCGGAAUUACUGGGCGUAAAGCGCGUGUAGGCGGAUCGGAAAGUAGGGUGUGAAAGCCCUCGGCUUAACCGAGGAAUUGCGCUCUAAACUGCUGUGCUUGAGGAACCUAGAGGUGAGCAGAACUGAUGGUGGAGCGGUGAAAUGCGUUGAUAUCAUCAGGAAUACCGGAGGCGAAGGCGGCUCACUGGGGGUUUUCUGACGCUGAGGAACGAAAGCCAGGGGAGCGAACGGG
rnacentral:rRNA from 1 species